GGGUUGUGAGGUUAAGCGACUAAGCGUACACGGUGGAUGCCCUGGCAGUCAGAGGCGAUGAAGGACGUGCUAAUCUGCGAUAAGCGUCGGUAAGGUGAUAUGAACCGUUAUAACCGGCGAUUUCCGAAUGGGGAAACCCAGUGUGAUUCGUCACACUAUCAUUAACUGAAUCCAUAGGUUAAUGAGGCGAACCGGGGGAACUGAAACAUCUAAGUACCCCGAGGAAAAGAAAUCAACCGAGAUUCCCCCAGUAGCGGCGAGCGAACGGGGAGCAGCCCAGAGCCUGAAUCAGUGUGUGUGUUAGUGGAAGCGUCUGGAAAGGCGCGCGAUACAGGGUGACAGCCCCGUACACAAAAAUGCACAUAUUGUGAGCUCGAUGAGUAGGGCGGGACACGUGGUAUCCUGUCUGAAUAUGGGGGGACCAUCCUCCAAGGCUAAAUACUCCUGACUGACCGAUAGUGAACCAGUACCGUGAGGGAAAGGCGAAAAGAACCCCGGCGAGGGGAGUGAAAAAGAACCUGAAACCGUGUACGUACAAGCAGUGGGAGCCUCUUUAUGGGGUGACUGCGUACCUUUUGUAUAAUGGGUCAGCGACUUAUAUUCUGUAGCAAGGUUAACCGAAUAGGGGAGCCGAAGGGAAACCGAGUCUUAACUGGGCGUUAAGUUGCAGGGUAUAGACCCGAAACCCGGUGAUCUAGCCAUGGGCAGGUUGAAGGUUGGGUAACACUAACUGGAGGACCGAACCGACUAAUGUUGAAAAAUUAGCGGAUGACUUGUGGCUGGGGGUGAAAGGCCAAUCAAACCGGGAGAUAGCUGGUUCUCCCCGAAAGCUAUUUAGGUAGCGCCUCGUGAAUUCAUCUCCGGGGGUAGAGCACUGUUUCGGCAAGGGGGUCAUCCCGACUUACCAACCCGAUGCAAACUGCGAAUACCGGAGAAUGUUAUCACGGGAGACACACGGCGGGUGCUAACGUCCGUCGUGAAGAGGGAAACAACCCAGACCGCCAGCUAAGGUCCCAAAGUCAUGGUUAAGUGGGAAACGAUGUGGGAAGGCCCAGACAGCCAGGAUGUUGGCUUAGAAGCAGCCAUCAUUUAAAGAAAGCGUAAUAGCUCACUGGUCGAGUCGGCCUGCGCGGAAGAUGUAACGGGGCUAAACCAUGCACCGAAGCUGCGGCAGCGACACUAUGUGUUGUUGGGUAGGGGAGCGUUCUGUAAGCCUGUGAAGGUGUGCUGUGAGGUAUGCUGGAGGUAUCAGAAGUGCGAAUGCUGACAUAAGUAACGAUAAAGCGGGUGAAAAGCCCGCUCGCCGGAAGACCAAGGGUUCCUGUCCAACGUUAAUCGGGGCAGGGUGAGUCGACCCCUAAGGCGAGGCCGAAAGGCGUAGUCGAUGGGAAACAGGUUAAUAUUCCUGUACUUGGUGUUACUGCGAAGGGGGGACGGAGAAGGCUAUGUUGGCCGGGCGACGGUUGUCCCGGUUUAAGCGUGUAGGCUGGUUUUCCAGGCAAAUCCGGAAAAUCAAGGCUGAGGCGUGAUGACGAGGCACUACGGUGCUGAAGCAACAAAUGCCCUGCUUCCAGGAAAAGCCUCUAAGCAUCAGGUAACAUCAAAUCGUACCCCAAACCGACACAGGUGGUCAGGUAGAGAAUACCAAGGCGCUUGAGAGAACUCGGGUGAAGGAACUAGGCAAAAUGGUGCCGUAACUUCGGGAGAAGGCACGCUGAUAUGUAGGUGAAGUCCCUCGCGGAUGGAGCUGAAAUCAGUCGAAGAUACCAGCUGGCUGCAACUGUUUAUUAAAAACACAGCACUGUGCAAACACGAAAGUGGACGUAUACGGUGUGACGCCUGCCCGGUGCCGGAAGGUUAAUUGAUGGGGUCAGCGCAAGCGAAGCUCUUGAUCGAAGCCCCGGUAAACGGCGGCCGUAACUAUAACGGUCCUAAGGUAGCGAAAUUCCUUGUCGGGUAAGUUCCGACCUGCACGAAUGGCGUAAUGAUGGCCAGGCUGUCUCCACCCGAGACUCAGUGAAAUUGAACUCGCUGUGAAGAUGCAGUGUACCCGCGGCAAGACGGAAAGACCCCGUGAACCUUUACUAUAGCUUGACACUGAACAUUGAGCCUUGAUGUGUAGGAUAGGUGGGAGGCUUAGAAGUGUGGACGCCAGUCUGCAUGGAGCCGACCUUGAAAUACCACCCUUUAAUGUUUGAUGUUCUAACGUUGACCCGUGAUCCGGGUUGCGGACAGUGUCUGGUGGGUAGUUUGACUGGGGCGGUCUCCUCCUAAAGAGUAACGGAGGAGCACGAAGGUUGGCUAAUCCUGGUCGGACAUCAGGAGGUUAGUGCAAUGGCAUAAGCCAGCUUGACUGCGAGCGUGACGGCGCGAGCAGGUGCGAAAGCAGGUCAUAGUGAUCCGGUGGUUCUGAAUGGAAGGGCCAUCGCUCAACGGAUAAAAGGUACUCCGGGGAUAACAGGCUGAUACCGCCCAAGAGUUCAUAUCGACGGCGGUGUUUGGCACCUCGAUGUCGGCUCAUCACAUCCUGGGGCUGAAGUAGGUCCCAAGGGUAUGGCUGUUCGCCAUUUAAAGUGGUACGCGAGCUGGGUUUAGAACGUCGUGAGACAGUUCGGUCCCUAUCUGCCGUGGGCGCUGGAGAACUGAGGGGGGCUGCUCCUAGUACGAGAGGACCGGAGUGGACGCAUCACUGGUGUUCGGGUUGUCAUGCCAAUGGCACUGCCCGGUAGCUAAAUGCGGAAGAGAUAAGUGCUGAAAGCAUCUAAGCACGAAACUUGCCCCGAGAUGAGUUCUCCCUGACUCCUUGAGAGUCCUGAAGGAACGUUGAAGACGACGACGUUGAUAGGCCGGGUGUGUAAGCGCAGCGAUGCGUUGAGCUAACCGGUACUAAUGAACCGUGAGGCUUAACCUUACAACGCCGAAGCUGUU
rnacentral:rRNA from 1 species